AUGCACGCUGGCGGCGUGCCUAAUACAUGCAAGUCGAGCGAACAGAUGAGGAGCUUGCUCCUCUGACGUUAGCGGCGGACGGGUGAGUAACACGUGGAUAACCUACCUAUAAGCCUGGGAUAACUUCGGGAAACCGGAGCUAAUACCGGAUAAUAUAUUGAACCGCAUGGUUCAAUAGUGAAAGACGGUUUUGCUGUCACUUAUAGAUGGAUCCGCGCCGCAUUAGCUAGUUGGUAAGGUAACGGCUUACCAAGGCAACGAUGCGUAGCCGACCUGAGAGGGUGAUCGGCCACACUGGAACUGAGACACGGUCCAGACUCCUACGGGAGGCAGCAGUAGGGAAUCUUCCGCAAUGGGCGAAAGCCUGACGGAGCAACGCCGCGUGAGUGAUGAAGGUCUUCGGAUCGUAAAACUCUGUUAUUAGGGAAGAACAAAUGUGUAAGUAACUAUGCACGUCUUGACGGUACCUAAUCAGAAAGCCACGGCUAACUACGUG
rnacentral:rRNA from 1 species